rnacentral:rRNA from 2 species
UGGAAGUAAAAGUCGUAACAAGGUCUCCGUUGGUGAACCAGCGGAGGGAUCAUUACCGAGUUUACAACUCCCAAACCCAAUGUGAACCAUACCAAACUGUUGCCUCGGCGGGGUCACGCCCCGGGUGCGUCGCAGCCCCGGAACCAGGCGCCCGCCGGAGGGACCAACCAAACUCUUUCUGUAGUCCCCUCGCGGACGUUAUUUCUUACAGCUCUGAGCAAAAAUUCAAAAUGAAUCAAAACUUUCAACAACGGAUCUCUUGGUUCUGGCAUCGAUGAAGAACGCAGCGAAAUGCGAUAAGUAAUGUGAAUUGCAGAAUUCAGUGAAUCAUCGAAUCUUUGAACGCACAUUGCGCCCGCCAGUAUUCUGGCGGGCAUGCCUGUCCGAGCGUCAUUUCAACCCUCGAACCCCUCCGGGGGGUCGGCGUUGGGGAUCGGGAACCCCUAAGACGGGAUCCCGGCCCCGAAAUACAGUGGCGGUCUCGCCGCAGCCUCUCCUGCGCAGUAGUUUGCACAACUCGCACCGGGAGCGCGGCGCGUCCACGUCCGUAAAACACCCAACUUCUGAAAUGUUGACCUCGGAUCAGGUAGGAAUACCCGCUGAACUUAAGCAUAUCAAUAAGCGGAGGA